GAAGAUAGUAGCCAAUUGCCAAGUGUUUGAUUCUAUAACAGAACCUCGCAAACCAGAUCCAGAAGGACAGAUGCAUAGAACAGAUGGAGUGAUGUGGUUAAGAAAAAUCCUUACACUAUCUACUUAAGGAUAAUAAGGGUUGAACAACAACAGAAGACAACUCAAAAAGCAAUAGGGAGAGAAAAGAUGAAAUAUAAAGAUCUCAGCAACAGCAAAUCAUUCUUUCAUCUUGUAUUACUGCAAUUAUCUGGGAGGGAAGCUGGAAUCAGCUUUGUCUGAGUUUCCUUGCAAAUAACAGCUCUUGAACCAUGGUUUCAUCUUUUAUGAAGUGAACAUAACCAAGAAGCAAAGAUUUGUUGACUGGCAUAUUUGACUCAUCCAACUGCAGAAAAACUUCUGUUGUCCUAAGUAUGUAUGUUGCACAAUGUGUCUUCCACAUUUUUAGCAAUUUCAUCUCUUCGUCUUUGAACAGAGUUAUUGCUGAGCAGAAUCUCUUUAAUUAUUUGGUUUGGUAACGUAUGCAAAACUAUACUCAGAAUCUCCCUUACUGCUGGCACAAUCAGUUCUCCUCCAAUUGUAUGAAGCUUUCCAGAUUUAGCAAUAAGCA